UGGAAGCACUUCCGUGCAGUUUCUCUCUGUCCCUUCCUGCUGAUCUUUCCAGCGUACAUGGCUUUUAUGAUCUGCCAGUUCUUCCACACGGACUUCUGGCUUCUCAUCAUCAUCUCCUCCUCAAUCCUCACCUCUCUCCAGGUGCUUGGCACUCUGUUGACCUGUUGUUCUCUUCAUGGUGGAGGAGUUUCGUAAAGCUCCAGUGGAGAACAUGGAUGAAGUCAUAUAUUGUGUAAAUGGGACCUACAGAUUGCUGGAGGUUCUGAGUGUAGAGGUCAGCCAAUGUCGCUCGGAUCUGCUGCACAGCUUGAGGCUGGUCUGGGAAGAAUCUGUCCAGGACUCCAGGUCUGGGGAGCACUUGCUGAACCUUCUUGGUACCAGCCAGGUGAGCGCUGAUAUCUGGACACUUCACAGCUCGAGAGCGCUCCAUGAGGAGACGAGCAUCCCAGCUCUGCAAUGGAAAACAGACAAUGAAUUCUCUGCUUUUUAUCAUUAGAUGUA